rnacentral:lncRNA from 1 species
GGGUAAAGGAACAGUACCAUUGCUGGAUAAUUGGAAAAGUCCCUGUGUGUGUCAACCUCUGUGCUUCGUGGCAAGGUAGACUAGCAAACAUGCCCAACCUUUACUCACAUUCGAGAAAACACUCCCAACAAGAUUGCUUGCUCCAAAAUCGAAGAGGCACCGCCCUCCGAAUCUCGAGAGCUAGACUCCCAACAUGAUUACUUUCUCAAAAAUCAAAGAGACACUGCUCCCCGAAUCUUCGAGAGCGAGACCCCCAACAUGAUUGCUUUCUCAAAAAUCGAUGAGGCAUCGUUCUCCGAAUCAAUCGAAGAGGCGCUCGCUUUCUCAAAAGCUGGGCUGCUCAGAGACCACGAGGGCCGAUCUCAGAAAUCGAAGAGGCACCUACUAUUCUAGCCUUGUCAGCACCUGUCACACGCACACUCAGCUUUGCAGAAAUUAUGGGCAUUCUGUCGAAGACUUCUGGUGAAGUAGAAAGCACAUGAAUCUUACUGUUCAAUCACCCACUUCCCACACGCAACAAUAGCUCAUGGGUACCACAGAUAACUUUGCCAAAGUUCUCUGCCAAAGUUGAGCACGUGAAGCUUGCAGCUCCCAUUACAUCGCUCUGACCAAGAAAGGUAAAAGAAUAGCAAAGAAACAGCACUAACAAAGUUUGGACACAUAAAUUUUGAAGGUCUAGCUACCAUAUUAUUACCCACAAGGGUAAAGGAACAGUACCAUUGUUGGAUAAUUGGAAAGUUCAUGUGUGUCAACCUCUGUGCUUCGUGGCAAGGUAGACUAGCAAACAUGCCCAACCUUUACUCACAUUCGAGAAAACUCCCAACAAGAUUGCUUGCUCCAAAAUCGAAGAGGCACCGUCCUCCGAAUCUCGAGAGCCAGACUCCCAACAUGACUACUUUCUCAAAAGCGAAGAGAGGGUAAAGGAACAGUACCAUUGCUAGAUAAUUGGAAAGUCCCUGUGUGUCAACCUUUGUGCUUCGGGGCAAGGUAGACUAGCAAACAUGCCCAACCUUUACUCACAUUCGAGACAACACUCCCAACAGGAUUGCUUGCUCCAAAAUCGAAAAGGCACCGCCCUCCGAAUCUCGAGAGCCAGACUCCCAACAUGAUUACUUCCUCAAAAAUCGAAGAGACACUGCUCUCCGAAUCUCGAGAGCCAGACCCCCAGCAUGAUUGCUUUCUCAAAAAUCGAAGAGGCAUCGUUCUCCGAAUCUCGAGAGCCAGAUACCACAGACCACUUUUUCAAAGUGCU